AAACUUAGCUCCAAAGCGCCGUUUUCUGGGUUUGGAUCUUCCUCAAGCUCUUCAGAAGAAAAAGAAAAAAAAAAAAAAAAAUUUAUACCCAAAAAAAGGUUUGCAACUUUUGGUGCUUUGUUUUCGCUAGAAGUUCCACUCAAUCUCUGAAGAGUAUGUAUUAAUGUCAACUAUUCACUCCGUGGUUAUCCUGUCAGCCUCACUCACAGACAGCCUCACUUACAGACUCACAGACUCACCCUCUCAUCUCUCGCUCUCACAGUCUCUACAAAUCUGCUUCUUAGGUUAACAAUGACUGUAAUUGAUAUAAAUUUGUAUUACGGUGGAGAGCUUUGCAAUGAUGAUGAGAAUGAGGGAUUGCCAUUUAAAGGGCGGGGUAUCAAGUGCUAUUAUAUUCAGAUACAUCGUAGGUUGAAGACCCUGAAUGAUUUGAAGAGGAUAAUUAUGGAAGAAUUGCAUCUAAACCCUGUUUUGCAUGACAUUAAAAUUACUUUUCGUUCUCCACAUGAAAUCCUCCAUCAACACAUUAAUUACAGGUAUAUGGUGAUAGAAGAAGACAAACAUGUGAAGAUCAUGUUUGAUAGGAUGGAGAAAAUGGCCCAAAUAAAUGCUAUUGAGUUGUACAUAAGUGCAGAGCCACGUGUAGAAGUUGGCGGUGAGGAAAUGCAACAAACAACUACAAAUCUACAGUUUAUACUCCCAGAUGAUCGAAGCACCACAUUGGGAGGCUAUACACCCCCAUGUGAAGAGACACCAACACCGAUUGAGAAGGAAGGCUGCCAUAGAUAUCGAGAUAAAUUUUGUAAACAUCGAGAUGAAUCUUUUACACAUCUGGAGGAGGAAGAUGAAGAAGAUGUUAAUCAAAGUGCCAUUAAUGGUGAAGAUCUUGAUGGUAGAAAUGAGUAUGAAGAGACAAUUGAGCGAGAUGACUUUGACAAAGAUGUUGAUGAUCAUGAAAUUGCUGCCAAUCAUAAUGCUGAUGAUAUAUUUGAUUGUGAUGAAAAUGAUGCUAACGAUGAUAUUGGUGUCCAGCAUGUUGCAAACACUAUCCCUACUUACACACCUCCUGCUCCAUCAUUCUAUACAAAUACUUGGAAAAAUAUGGUUGAUCCUUCAAAUGUUGAUAUACCAUUUGCUUCUACUUGGCAAGAGGGGAUGAAUUUUGAUAAAGGGUUGAUUUUUGCCAACAAAGAGGCGGUGAAGCGUGCAUUAACAAUUUACGCUGCUAAGGAAAACAAACAAUUUAUAAUCAGUAGGUCCACCAAGGUGAAACUGUGUGCGAAAUGCGUGGAUAAGUCAUGCAAAUGGUACGUCGGGGCAUUCAUGAAACCUAAACUUCAUGGACUAUGGGUGGUCACAGUUUAUGUGGGUCCUCACACCUGUAUAUCCCUUGGGUUGCCAAAAGAUGGUAGAAUGAUGGACUCUAAUUUUGUUGCAUCAGAACUUCUUCCGAUUUUACUCAAGAAACACACUACCACAGUUCAUGAUCUCAUAACUAACAUGAGCAUGAAGUUUGGCCAUGAGCUUUCUUAUUAUAAGGUAUGAGAUGCAAAACAAAAGGCUAUUGCGAAGAUAUUUGGGGAUUGGGAAAAAUCUUACCAAAAGCUGCAAAAGUUGUUAUUGGCAUACGUUGAUCAAGACCCGGGUACUCGAUUUUUUUAUCAUACCACACCUGGAAGCAUUGCAGGUACUAGUUUAUUGCAUUAUGUAUUUUGGGCUUUCACUCCAUGCAUUGAUGGAUUCAAAUAUUGCAAGCCAGUGAUUAGUAUUGAUGGGACCCAUUUGUAUGGUAAAUAUAAAGGAAAGUUAUUGAUUGCAAUGGCAACUGAUGCUAACAACAAGGUAUUUCCUCUUUCCUUUGCCGUUGUGGAUAUUGAGUCAGGGUCCAGUUGGGGGUGGUUUUUAGAAUGCCUCAAGGAGACAAUAGGAGAUGUGAUUCCUGAUGAGGGUAUUUGCAUAAUUUCUGACCAACAUGAGGGUAUCAAAAAUGCCAUUGCAGCCUGGCCUAGGAAUGAAAAUGGAAGACUAAGGGUUUUUCACCGAUAUUGCCUUAGACAUGUCAUUAGCAACUUUAACACGCAUUUUCAAGACCCGAUUCUAAAGUCAUUGGCCUUGAAAGCGGGAUAUGCUACUCAAGAAGCAAAAUUCAAUAACAUAAUGGACUCAAUUAAGAAUGUUGAGAUUGAAGCCACUAAGAAGGAGUUGACCAUUGGCGUUAAUGGAGGCGAUCCCAAACCCUAUAAGCCACACACAUAUCUAAUGAGUGAGCCUGUGGACAUGUGGGCCCAGUCACAUGAUGGUGGGAAACGUUAUGGGGCAAUGACAACUAAUAUAUCUGAGUGCUUCAAUGGUGUUCUAGAAGGUGCCCGUGGCUUGCCCAUAGCAGCAAUGGUUGAAUUCACUUGGUCCAAACUUGUCGCAUAUUUCCAUGAUCGGCACAAAGACAUUACUCAUGAUCUCUUGGAGGGUAAAAGGUGGAGUAAAUAUGCCAUGUCCGUUUAUGACACAAAUAAACUCAAAGCUGCACAACAUCAUGUGGGGGAAUUUAACAAUCAAGAUGAUAUUUGUCAAGUAUUUAUAUCAUACAAUGUCCAUAGCACUGGAGGGGGACAUAGUUAUGAAAUUCGGUUAAUGGAUAGAACAUGUGGGUGUGGGGAAUGGCAAAACAUUAAGAUCCCUUGUUCACAUGUAAUUAAAGUCUGUGAGUUGCUACACAUUGAUCCGACCAAAUAUAUUGACCCAUGUUAUAGUUUGGCAAAUGCCAUUAAAAGCUAUUCCCAUGGAUUUACGGUGCCUAAGUCAGAGUCAUCGUGGAGGGAUGCUGACGGCCUAAUGUGGCUACCUAACCCAAGUUUGUUGCGGGACAAAGGUCGACCAGUGAAAUCAAGAAUAAGGAAUGAGAUGGAUGGGGUCAAGCGAAAACUGGGAAGCUGGAGGGAGGAGUCGGAUUUGAGGGAGAAUCAACCCAAGCAAAGAUGUGGAUUGUGUCAUGAAGAAGGGCAUAACCGUAGAAAAUGUCCGGAUUCCUGUGGCGCUUCGACAAGCGUUCAUGUUCCAAACUAGGCAUGCGGUGAUGUUCCAUGACUGGCGUUUUAGUUGUACAUUCUAUUACUGUUGACUACGCUACUUAUUAAUAUUUGACUACGUUGUAUCGGAACAAUAUAUAUAUAUAUAUAUAUUUUUUUUUUAUGCUGAAUGUACUUGCAAUUUCACUCUUCUCUCUCCAAUGUACUUAUUUCAAGUUUGUGAUAGAAGCAGUAAGAUUUAUGAUCAGAAUUAAAAUUAUGCAUUGUUGGAUUAGUUGGAUCUUCCUCAACUUCUUCAGAAGACAAAAAUAAGAAUUUUUAUACCCAAAAAAAGAUAACAAAAUUGAAUAGAUAGCCUCCUUAUUGUACAGAAACAACCAUCUGUUCAAUUCAAAAUGAAGGAAGAAGAAGUGAACCGAUGCCAGAUUAAAGACUGAUGGCGGCAUCUUUGAAGAUGGAAGGUGAUGGCUUGGCGGCCGCAACGAUGAUGAUCGGCAUUGGUUGCUGGAAUUUGUCGCAAUUUUUAGCAAAAAAUGGGGCUCCCCUGAGAAAGAAGAUGAGGAUUUGGCAGUUUCCUACCUGACAAGUUUGAUUACGUUGGUGUUUCUGUGGUAGAACAUUGUCAAGUUGUGGAGGCAAUAGCAGAGCACAUAGUAAGGGCGCAAAAGAAAUAAAAUUCAGCCUCCUCGUCCUAUUAUGCUUCUCCUACAGCGGUUAUAAAGUCAAGUGUAGAAUUUUCACCAAUGUGAUUAUGUUUAUAUUCCCCAUUUAGGUAUAUGUUUAUUUGGUUUAAAUGUGUUCGUUCCUUUUCUUUUCAAAUUUGGUAAUUGUACACCUUUCAAACUGGGUAGAAGAGUAUCCUUCUUUUCAGCAAUCAGCGGUUAAUAUUUUUUUAAUUCUCAAAGAGCUUGAAGUUAAUGUGUCAAGGCCUUCACUUGGGUAUCAUUUUGGUGGGUAGCAAGUGUUUGAUGAAAGUUGUGAGUAUUGGCACUUUGCAGCAACUGGUUUGUAAAGUUGCAAGUGUGACUUAAGUAUUGAGAUAAAGGCUUAUUUAAAGGUUCAUGGUUUUCUUUA